GCUCUCUAUUCAUCUCUAAAACAAUUCUCUCUAUUUCUUAUUUUUAUUUUCCCUCUCAAGUUUGAUUCUUUUCCUCCAAGGUCUCGAGAAUCCGACCAACGUGCAUUGGCAUGAUUACUUGAGAAAAAGAAAAAAAGUUGUGAUGUUGAUGAGGUAGGAGGUAUUCCUUGAAACAUAUUUUCGUGAAAAAGAAUGAUGGAUAAAUGAUAAAGCGAAAGAUGCAUAUGUAAGUUUGUUUUGUCAUGACUAAGUAAAUUCAUUUAUUAUUCAAUAUAUUUAAUCUAACUAGAUCUUUCAUAUAGUUGGAAAUGCAAUGAAUUAUUGCAGAGUCAACUGAAGCUGGUGUUCAAACUAUCUCUAGUGCGAAUGCAUGUGAAAUUGUAUUGGGGAGUCACUCAAUGCAAACUGUUAACCUAAAAAAUGGUGAAUUGGUAGUAAUGUGUCAUCUACACGUUAAAAAGAGAAAAAAGAGAUAAUAUAUCUUUAAAAAGCAAAUGAAAAGUUAACUUGCAAAAUGGAAACAUAGGUGGGCAGACAUAAAAAAGAGUUGGAUCUAGAUGAGGAAGAGGAAGAGGAAGAGGAAGAGGAAGAUGAUGCACCUUCAAACACUUGGAAAUAUCUUUUUUGGCUACAGUUUUAUUUUGCGUCGGCAUUUCUGUCCAUACAACAUGAAAAACGUAGACAAAGGAAAAGACGACGGUGUUUCGGCCACGUAACGUAUCCACUAAAAUAAAACUUGGGCAGAAGCCCUGCCAACGCUUUUCUACGUCGGCAAAGAUGAAAAUUCUUGUAGUGAGUGAAUGUCUACCUAGUGAAGAUAUCCAGGUGUACUUAAGGACUCAAUUGUAUCUCUUACAAAAAAAAAAAAGUGUUAACCUAGUUGAAAUAAAAAACUAACUUCCCUUCAAACUCAAUACAUUUUGUAUAGAAUAUAUAUAUCAAAAUCAAUGAUGAUAUAUAUUUUCCUAAUUCUAAUAUGAGGAUCGUGAAUCCCUGACUUAGUGGAGGGAGAAGAUAAGGAAAUUGUUGUUUGCUCAAAGCCUUCUUUGAAGUAGAAACAUGAUAAUGAAUCAAUGGUGUCAUCUUGAGCAAUUGACAAUCUACAUCAAUAUCUUUUAUACGUUCUUGAUCAAAACUGGAACUUGAGCAAUAUGCAAUUUGUUGCUGGUUUCUUCUGAUCACAAAUAAUUUUAUGGCAUGAGGAUGAUUUGUCCCAAAACUACCAAGUAAAGGUUUGCCCACCUGAGUCUACAUUUAGUAAAAGCCACCAAGCGACCUCUGUUGAUUGGGAAUAUGAUACCACAGACUAUUUAUUGGUCUUUUUAAGAGAGAGGAACUACCUAGAAAAGUAGUAGUCCAAGUGGAAAGAGAAGAGUUGGGGAGCCAAAUAACAACUCACUCAAUGUAAUCUGAAUUACAUUAGCUUGAUAUUGAGAGAUCAUAAUGGAAAUGAAGAAGAAUUCAUCGACUAGGACAACUUUUCAAAUAACGAAAGAUAUGGAUUAACCAUAACAUUUCGAAAAUAAUUGUAGUGAUCGUCUUUGUCAACCUUGUAAAUGGUGUUGCGAAGGAAGUAGGCAACAACGACUGAUGUUGGAGAGGAAAGGGCCAGAGAUUCCAACGAGGAGGAAUGUCGAAACUCUUGCGCUCGUUACGUUGGAUGGAGCAAAAAACAAGCUUGAUACUAACAAUAAAUAAAAUUAACAAAAAACUAUUAUUAGGCCACCAAAUUUAGAAUGCGAGUACUGCUUUCAAAAAGCUUUAUUUGUACCAAAAGCUGAUGGAUCGAUAGUAGACAAUUUAGCACUGAAAUUGAAAGCCUCCUCAUGAGCAAAAUGAUAUGGAUCGAGUACUCCUUUGUUGAGUCUCCCUAUACUUUUCUUCAGCAAAUUGUACGUUUCAUAUAGAGCAAUACUUCCGGCCUGUUACAAACCUUUCUUAUGAGGGUAAAAACAAAAACUUAACUGAAGGUUUAAAAUUUUAAUAAAAUUAGCCAAUUUUAAAGUUUAAAUUUAUGAAAUUCUUCGAGUACGAUGCAUUUAAUCUGAUCAUAAAUUCUUCGGGUAGGCUGGAUUCCAUCCCAUCCCAUCAGUCAAACUUCUUCCUAACUCGACUCACUUUGCCUUUCAAGCUGGAAUGCUUUCUUGAGAUAGCUAGAAUGAUUAUUUUUAAAAGAAACUCUUAAUUUGUUCAUAACACUAACAGAUAAAAAGUUCAGAUUAGGAGAAAUAUGUUUGACAGAGAUAGAGAGAGAGAGAGUUGGAGAAAUAUUCAAAUUACUAUUCAAUAUUUCCUUGAAAAAAACAAAUAAUAUUUCUUUUACAUUUUUAAAAGGUUCAUUAAUUCACUCUUGGGUGAGUUCAGAGAAGAUGGUGCAGUGUAGUCCAUGUCUGCAGGAGAAAUUUAGAAGAGAGAAGUAAGAGUUGGAUGAGUGUAGCCUAGGUGUGAAAGUUCACCAACCCCAAUAAACUCUCAUAAAAAAAAGCACCAACUUUUUGUACCAAACUUUCAUAUCUGUCAUCCAAUGCAUUAAUUUUGAAUUUUGUAUGAGGCUAUGUGGAAGAUGAAAAUAUUGAAUAUAAUCAAAAGAGUGUACGACCAUUUAUGUUAU